AUUGAACGCUGGCGGCAUGCCUUACACAUGCAAGUCGAACGGCAGCGGGGGAGAAGCUUGCUUUUCCUGCCGUCGAGUGGCGUACGGGUGAGUAAUACAUCGGAACGUGCCCUGUAGGUGGGGAUACUAGUCGAAAGAUUAGCUAAUUCCGCAUACGACCUGAGGGCUAAAGGGGGGGACCGCAAGGCCUUCUGCUAUAGGAGCGGCCGAUGUCUGAUUAGCGAGUUGGUGGGGUAAAGGCCUACCAAGGCGACGAUCAGUAGCUGGUCUGAGAGGACGAUCAGCCACACUGGGACUGAGACACGGCCCAGACUCCUACGGGAGGCAGCAGUGGGGAAUUUUGGACAAUGGGCGAAAGCCUGAUCCAGCAAUGCCGCGUGUGUGAAGAAGGCCUUCGGGUUGUAAAGCACUUUUGUCUGGAAAGAAAUGGCUCUGGUUAAUACCUGGGGUCGAUGACGGUACCGGAAGAAUAAGGACCGGCUAACUACGUGCCAGCCGCCGCCGUAA
rnacentral:rRNA from 1 species